AAAGACUUAGUUAAAAAAUAACAUUAACUUGUCAAGUUAAAAUUAUUAAUAUAUUAAUAGUUUUUG
rnacentral:tRNA from 1 species